GACAACGUCAGCCUUGAUUGCAUAACCAGUGUUGCCAAUUCUGUCCUCAUAACAAGGUGGACGGAUUCUUACUGAAUCUAUGCAAAUAACUAGAGUGCCAUGAAAACAGGAAUCCUCAAUAAGAAUUCCCCAAAUUUGGAAGGAUGAGUCAGAGCAGAAAAGAUAUGUGUUUCAUUUUUGCUUUACAAGAGCACAGUCCUACUCAAUUGUUAUGAGUGAUAAAUAGCUCAGCAGAAAAGAGAGAGUGGUUCCUUUAAAGCAGAGCAUUAAAGCAUCAGCACUGUUCCAAACAAAGCCCAUAAUCAUGAAUCAUCAGUUCAUCCAGUGCUAUGUAAUUAAUUCUUGUUCUGCUCUAACUUGGAUUAGCAGUCUUAUAAAUUCAUAUUCUUUUCCACUAGAGUUCUAGAAAUCCUGACUUUAGUCCAACAGUGUGGUCCCCAAUUUAUUGAAGCAAUGCCACUAGAAGCCUAUACCCAAGAGUACCUGGAAUGGUCAUUUCCACAGGUCUCUAAGAUAUUUGGUUUAAGAGGAAGCACACAGCUGGAGCUGAUUUGCAAGGCUCUUCGGGAAUCAUUACACUAAAACACAUAACCACUUGUAGAUAACAAAAAACUUAAAAUAGCCAUGGUUGAUGUAUUUUUGAUAAUUUUUAAAGGUGAAAGAUCUGAUCAAAGUUCACUCUAAAAAUAUAUAAAAAUAGUACAAUUAAUAAGGAAAUUAGAUUUUUAUGUGACAUUUUAAAAAGUCAGUUCAAGAAAUUUUAGACAAAACAUGCCAGAGUAAUUAAUCAUAUUUUCAGAGAAGACUGGCUAUUAUAUCUAAUUUAUGAAAGUGUAUAAGCAUAUUUUUUACAGAGAAAAAAAUACAACAUAAUAAUUCUGAGACAUGAUAUGCCAUGAACAUAUUAAACAUAUUGUUAGAAUAUACUUUUAUCAAGCAAAAUGUAAGCACCUGAAUGAGUUUAGGAAAAACACACUUGAGUAAAAUAAAAAAGUGUUUUUGCAAGGCUGAAAACUCAAAGGCAUUACUGUAUUUAUUAAACCAACAACAUUAGAAAUAGUCUCAUUUGCCAAAGAUUUACCUAAAUCAUAUGAACUUGAAUUUUAAAAACUUUUUAGUAAGUUUCUAUAAGAAUACUCCCCCCCAUAUUCAACAAAUUAGAGAUUUAAUUUUAUUGAUUUCUGGGAAUUCCAGGAAGGUCAAAAUUCUAUAAACUCUUAUUUAUCUCUUAGCCAAUCCAAAAGGAUCUCUUUUAAGGGAUUUUAGAAUUUAAUGUGGUAAUACCAUUUGGAGGUAAGAAAAUACUAUGCAUGCAUAAUAGAACAUAUGUAUAUACAUAUAUAUACACACAUAGAGAUAGACACAAAAAGCUUAUAGCUUUAAUUUUUAAUUAAAAAAUUUAGCCCUGGUGCAAGUUAUAAACACGGAAACUCAAAACUCACUGGCUCAUACAAAAGAGCUGACUCUAAUCUUGCCUUACUUUUACAUUUUUACAAAGAUUGUAUUUCUGGCAGAUGGGGCAAAUUGAAGUAACUUGCUCAAUGUAAGAGGUAAAGCAGCUCCCCCAGUAUUUGUGGAGGAGACCCUUACGAUGUGCUUUGCCCUGACCUGUAAUCCUGUGGAGGUUGUGGGCUGCAUUUUGGGAGAAUGAUGGAGGAGAAACCAAGUGGCCAUCUGGUGUCUCUGAAGCCCAUCUGAGCGGAGAAAACAUGCAGCCUGUUCCAAUUAGCUUUUGCAGCCGCAGGCUUUUUCUCCUGGUGUAGUAGAACUCCUCAGAGCCCCCACAAUAGCAGGGCACUUAAACUUCAGGUGUCUACAGGGAGUUGAGGACCCUGAGUGAGAGAGGGAAGAACUGGCAGCGUGGAUAAUGGAGAGGAGGCGGUAGACGUGUUGACAGGGGAAGAACAAAGGAUUCUAGGGAGCUGAAGGACAAGUUGGGGGUGGAAAAAAGGAAGCAGAAGUUAGGCGAUGGUGAUGGGAAGGCAGAGGUCUUAGAAGACACUGAGGAGGGACUUGGUUUUUGAAGGAAGCAGUGGUCUCUGAAAGUUUUUGUGAGAGGGACAUUAUUCUGUUUCUUUGUACCAAACAAUACAAGCAGUUCACUGUUUGGAUGUGAUCUUGGAGUCAUGAGAUUCAAAAUCCCUACUCAGAAUAAACAAAUUUGCAAAGAUCCCAAGUUCCCCAAAGAGGCCAUUGAAAUUCUAGGUUUUUUGUUUGUUUUUGUUUUUGUUUUUGUUUUUUUGUUUUUUUUCAGUGAAAUUCUGUCAUUUUGAAGAGAUUGGGUGAAAUCAGUGUGAAUAAUGUCCAAGCUUACCCCACACAGGGAAGAGUGUGUGGAACUAUGGUUAGAUUGACAAUUUCCCUUGAUAAUGAAAGGAAUACCUGUUGGUGCUAAGGACUUUAAUCCAAGGUAUGAUAUCCCAGGAGAGAGGCAGAGGCUUUAAUCACACCCAGGAAAGCCAGAAGAAGGAGAGAAAUAGAAGGAAGAAAAAAGACAAAAAUGAAGAAUAAAGCCCAGUCUUUACCAUACUAAAACAGACACAUGUUUGGAACACUGGACCAGGAGUGAGACUCACCACUGUGGAUCCCGACUUCCCAUCCCAGCCAUGAAAGGACCCAGCAUCUGCUAAGAUGGCGUUGACCCUGGGGUGAAGAAAGCAAGAUCCUGAGGUUAUUUGGCAUUCUGUCAGAGUCACAACGUCAUAACUGUCAAAGAAAAAAAAUGCAAUCUGCACAUUAGUUUGAAGGAUUUCCUUAAGAAAGUUAUUGCAGUAGGAAGAAAAUAUCAUUAUAGGAAGCUGCAUGAAGACUAAGUCAAGAAUGUCUCUGGGGAGGGGUGGGUGGACAAAGCUUUUAAAUGCAGAGACACCUGGGAUAGGUGGCCAUGGAGAGUAGGAGGUGGGGAUGCGAAAGCUGGUGUGCGAGUGCGUUCUUAAAACUUAAUAUUCAUCAAAUAUUGUACUAACAGGGAAGUCAAGGCAGGAAGUAUUGGUUUGUGGCUAAGCACAUAGGGCGGGGUCUGCACUUGAGAUGGGUGAGCAAGUUUAAGCACAGAAAAUAUACAUGGGUUUGAAGGCCUUGUGGUCCUAAAGUUUUAUCAAGCUCAAAGUUUGAUUAGCCUUGUCAGCACCCAAAUUUUAGGGUCUCCCAAAAGUCACUAUGAUUUUUGUUCUUUCACCUUGUAAAAAGAGAAAUGUUAGGAAUAAUGAGGGUUAUUUGGUAUGUUACUGACGAUGAGUUGCAUGGGAAAUAUUCUCAAAUCAGAAGAAAUGCCUAGACUUCCCUAGGUUAAAUUUGUGUGGGUAAGAUGUUAUUAAAAUAAAUAUUUAAAAAAUUGUAUAUGGGAAGGUCAUAGACGAUGAUCAAUGCUUUUGCUGUCCAUGAUAUGUUUCUAUUUAUCAGUCUUGGUGUUGCUUUGCCUAUGAGACAAAAGCAGUAUUGUAUUAGCGGACAUAAUUUCAAUUAUUUUUAAAACACAUUACCUUGGUUGUAACUUUACUUUUGAACUUGAAUCUAGUGUAUUUGGGGCAGUAGUAUUCUAUUGGGGAUUCACAUCAUUUAUCUAUAGAGUUUUAUUAAUUUACUACUGAUGUUUAGAACCUACGUUAGAUGUAUUGGCUCUAUUUACUUGAUAAUCUUGAUAUAUUGUUGGUAUAGUCUAACUUUGUGCUAGGUGUAUAUGGUAUCUAAUGUUUUGGAAUUUUUAUAUCUUAUAAUUUGUCUGUAAGAUGAUGUUAAUCUAUUUUCAUAAAAUAGGUGUAAUCUCUACUCUUCUUUGAAAAUAGGCAUAAAUCUUUGUGUUUAUACAUAUUUUGUCAACAACUUUUUUGGAUUGACUUGAUUUCAUUUUGCAUGCCACAGAAACAAUCAGAUAUGCUCGUAAUUGCAUUAUUCUUGUAAUGAAUUCUCUUCAGAUCAUUCUCAUAGUAAGUAAACAAUAGAUAUUUCUAGUCUUUUGUCAUCUACAGAGAGUUUGCAUGUUUUGUUUUACUUCUGAUGCUUCCAUGAAAGCACCUGGAAUUGCUUCAACAAAGGACUAAAAGCCUGGUGAAGAAGACUGUGCCAGGUACUCUUGGGUCCAGGCUUCUGAUAGUAUUACUUCAAUAACUAUGAGAUCCUACCAGUGGACUGAGUCAGGAAUUCCAGACAUCCAGUCAAGAAGCAGAUGUGUUCAUGAGAUGACUAACCCAAGAUCAAGUAGGAACAGGAAUUAAUUAUAAAGCACUGAAUGAAUUGAAUAAACUGCAUAGAUAUGGGCUUUGUUUGGAACAGUGCUGAUGCUUUAAUGCUCUGCUUUCUGGUUGUAAGGAACCACUCUCUCUUUUCUGCUGAGCUAUUCAUUACUCAUAACAAUUGAGUAGACUAUGCUCUUGUAAAGCAAAAAUGAAACCCUUAUCUUUUCUGCUCUGACUCAUCCUUCUAAAUUUGGGGAAUUUUUUUUUAAGAUUUUAUUUAUUUAUUCAUGAGAGACACAUAGAGAGAGGCAGAGACACAGGCAGAGGGAGAAGCAAGCUCCAUGCAGGGAGCCCGACGUGGAACUCGAUCCCGGGUCUCCAGGAUCAGGCCCUGGGCCGAAGGUGGCGCUAAACCGCUGAGCCACCAGGGCUGCCAAUUUGGGGAAUUCUUAUUGAGGAUUCCUGUUUUCAUGGCACUCUAGUUAUUUGCAUAGAUUCAGUAAGAAUCCGUCCACCUUGUUAUGAGGACAGAAUUGGCAACACUGGUUAUGCAAUCAAGGCUGGCGUUGUCUACAACAUCACAUUUGCAAGUGAUGCUCAUUUCAACAGAUGUGACCAGACAUUUUUCAGGACUAAGGUUGACUUUCUGGGGCCAACACUUACCAAGUCCUUCUUGGGAAAACUGGCCCAGUAACUGGCUUUAUAGGGUUCUCAGCCUUAUAGGUGAGCAAGGAAGGUCACUUCCUGGCGGACUCAGGAAGCUUAGGACAUUUUGGGGACCUCAGGAAAAGAGGACUUCCACCAAAUCAUAGGUACUGCAGGUGAAAAAUGAUGGUGAAGUUGUGGCUUGGCUUCCUAUCCUCAAGAGGCAUUGGAAAGUCUAAUCUGAAGUUCUUUAUGAAAAUGUCCUUCAAAGCAAAAUAGAAGACCUAUGUGGUAGUUUGUCAUUCUUGCUGCAUCUAUGUAAACAGCUGGGCCAUGUCUAAUGAGAUCAGCUUUGUUUUGUGAUCAAGAAUGAUCUUUCUUUGAGAUUGUCUUUGAUCAAAGGGAAGAAAGGGACUAAAGAGAGCAUUUUGUAUUUCAAUGGGAAACUAUGGCAUGCUCUUCUGGAUUACCAGAUUCUGACCCUAUUCAUUGUCUUUGGGCUAUUUUACACCUCUAUAAACUGCAGGUAUCUGAUGGAUAUUCAAACUUUGUCUUGUCUGGUAACCAAGGUUUCUCAUUUCCUGUUGAAAAACCAUUUCGGUGUUUACUUCUAAAUUGCAUUUUCUCACCUUGCACAGCUUGUGAACUCUUACCAAAUUUUCAGUUCUUCAGUUCUUCCAGGUUCCUUCAAUAUUUGGCUACAAACUAAUCAUAGCUUAAAAGCAAGGUUUUCAAUUUUUCUGCCUCCUGCUUGUCAUUGAGUCAUUGAGAACUACAAAUUGAUUGCCAAGUUUUUGUUGGGACUCUAAAGUUGCCUUGUAACUGGUCUUUGCCUGCAAGAUCUGAAGAGUUAUUGCAAGCUCAAGUCUAAGAACUUUUUAUAAAACUAGAAGGACUCAUCAUGCCAACUAACCAUUCAUGGUCCAGUUCUUUCCCUGAAUAGUCCACUGUUUGGACUACCAAGCAAGUCUGGUGAAAGUCUCAGGUUAUCCAUUCCUUACUGGAGUAGUAACCAAUGCUGUGGACAACACCACCAAAACAACUGGUGUCUCGGAUUCAAAAAAUUCAAUGAGUGUGAUUUUCAUUUAUUACUACAGAUUUCUCAGAGUUUCCAUCAAGAUAUAGUUUGCGCCGACCAUCACCACGGCCUCCAGUUUUCAACCAGGCACAUAGAACCCAUUGUGCCUCACUGCUCACUGCUUGUCAAGUCCACAAUAAGUGCAUGCCUCUAGACCAAGAGAAUCAACAUCUUUUUGCCUUCACUGAAGAGGACAACAUCCCUGGGAGGUCAUGCUUCAGAGGCAUUCCUAACUACAAAAGCCAUUUCACUGAACUGAAUUGAACUUGAAUUGUGCAUGAACAAUUUCUACAAGCCCUUAAGGUUUCAACUCAAUUUCAUGGGAAUCAUCAAAAGCCAGUUGCUUACUACUGACUCACCUUUGACCCAGCUGUAAAGGCUUUUUCCCUUUGAUUUAAGAUUUUAUUUAUUUAACCAUGAGAGACACAGAUAAAGAGGCUGAGACACAGGCAGAGGGAGAAGCUGACUCCCUGUGGGGAACCUGAUGCAGGACUUGAUCCCAGGACCCCAGGAUCACGAUCUGAGCCAAAGGCAGACGCUCAACCACUGAACCACUCAGGUGCUCCUUUUUAUGAUCUUCAACUAAGAUAUUUUGUCUAUUGGAAGAUACAUCAGAGGAAAACCACUGCCUUUGAUCUCAAUGGAAGGAGCUUUAUCAGGUAUCCCUGUUUAAGAUGUCUGGACUUCUGGAUUCUAAAACAAUUGACUUUUGCUGUAACCUCUCAAACCGAUGGUUCAACUUAUUUUAUAUCAACAACACCAACAAAAGUCCUAGAGAGAUCCUACUUUGUCUCACUCAGAAGGUUUAUGCUUGUCCUUUAGUUGUUCAGAAACCUACUCUAUUCCUUCGUAUUGAGCAAAAGUAGAGAUUAACAAUGUUGGACUUUAUCUGAGCUCUGUAUUCUUAGAAAACAGUGAUAGUUAAUAAAUACCCCAUCUUUUGUUUCCAGGAAAGGAGUUACUGAAAAGAGGCACCACUCUUCUCCAUAUAAUUUAUAUAAGACUCCCAGUCCAUUCUUUUUCAUGACUCCAAUAAAAGUUGUGUAUAUAGAUAUAUGGACAACUAUUAUUUGUCAAAGAUGCCAAGACCAUUUAAUGGGAAAAGAAUAAUGUUUUCAACAAAUGAUUCUGGGACAACUGGAUAUAGUCACAGAAGAAUGAAGUUGGAUCCUUACCUCACACUAUAUAAAAAUUAACCAAAAUGGAUUAAAAAAUCUAAGUGUAAGAGCUAAAACUAUAGAAUUCUUAGAAGAAUACAGAGGUAAAUCUUCAUGAUUUGGCAAUGGGUUUUUAGAUAUGACCCCAGAACAUAAGCAACAAGAGGAAAAACAUAAAUUGAGCUUCAUCAAAGUAAAAUUUUUAUGUUUCAAAGAUUUCUAUCAAGAAGGUAGAAAGACAACCUAAAGACUACAGAUAUAUUUGAAAAUCAUAUAUCUGAUAAGGAAUUUGUACAUACAUAAAGAUUUCUUAUAUAAAGAAUUCUUACAACUGAAUAAUAAAAAUAAGAAAUAAUACAAAAAGGGCAAAGGAUCUCAAUAGACAUUGUUCCAAAGAAAACAUACAAAUGGCUGAUAGUCAUAUGAAAAUAUGCUGUUGAUCAUUAGUCAUCAAGUAAAUGCAAAUCAUAACCACAGUGAGAUAUUACUUCAUACCCAGUAGGCUAGAGUCAAAAUAUAAGAUAAUAAUAAGUGUUGGGAAGGAUGUGGAGAAACCAGAAACCUUUGGACUGCUAGUGGGAAAGCAAAAUCACAACUACUUUGGAAAACAAUCUGACAAGUCCUUCAAAUAACAGAAAAAUAGGUUAUUGGUUGCUUAGGGAUGGAAAGGAGGGUAGGGAGGAGGGGAUGGUAGGCGCUAGCUAAAUCAUAUUUUUUUUUCCGAUUGAGAUGAUAAAAAUAUUCUAAAAUUUAUUGUAGUGAUGGCUUCAAAUUUAUAAAUUAAAAUAAUGGUACAUUUUAAA